UAUUCAGUGAUGAUGAGAAGGAGUAAAGUCAUUAUUCAUUUUCAGAGAGGAAGCGGUUGGUGUGAGCUUCUAAGAAUGUGAUUUGAAGGCUAUCUUUGAACUGUUAACUUAAGAGAUGGAUAUUUUAUAUUCAUGAAUUAGGGUGGUACCACGGAAUAAUGCUUUCGUCCCUUGU
rnacentral:ncRNA from 1 species